GCAUGCCUGUAUAAAUUGGGUGUGUUAUUAAGGUGUACAGUUCAAGAGAAUAAUUUUGUAUACAUGCCAUUGCUGUUGCCUCUAGUUAUCGGCUUUACAUGCCAGAAAUACGGGCGUGAAAGAAUCUGACUGCAGUCAUUUCACGAGCUCUUCAGAUAUAUCUGGUUAAUUUAAGGCUUUGAGCAUUAAGAGCAUAUUUGAUGAACAUUAUUGGACAUCACUAGAUAGUACACAAUAGACAAAAAUUGUAACUUUCUGUUCUAUCUAAAUAUUAUUUAUUACUGGGAAAUUAACUUUACCAAAUAUUCCAUAGGUGUAUAGAAGGCUUUUUUGGCACUUGGGAUAUGAUAUCUGAUGCUCGGACUAUUCGAAAUGGUCGGAGUAAUCGUGUCGUGUCUAUGGUUAUGGGAUAUGUAUCGGAGCCUCCAAAUUUCAACCGGACACUUUGCCAUUUUUGCUUGCUCUUCUUUUUUCUUUCUUUUCGUGUUCUUUUCUGUUUCUAUUCUCUAUAAACCUAGUGUCGCCUUCGAGAGAAUUGAGAAAGUCGAUGGCACUAGGUUUUCCCUUCCUCUUCUUCUUUCUUUUUUAUUUCCCUCCAUAUAGUGUUACUUAGUGCUCUACUUCAAGUCCUUCAUUUUCUAUUUUAUGUAACAUUUAGUAAUUACCUUCCCAUAAUUGAAAAUUAAAUUUCAAAAUUCUAUUUUAUUCAUCUUAAUCUCUUAUUCAAUACUCAUUUCCUUCUUUGUCAACAAUUGAUUUUGGUUUAUUCAAAAUGAUAUCUUGAGUUAGUAAAAAAAUUGAAGUUUGAAAGGCGUACCCAUGUAGCUGUGUCUGAAAUUUAGACUCUUUUUAACUAUGUCUUCAUAUUCUACAUUUUAGAAAAUAAUAGAUUCAACUAAACCCGAGUUCGAGCAUCAGAGGAUAUGAUGAAUUUUGUUAUGAAACCUGUUUUGAUUAAGGUGCUUGUUGGACUUUAUUUCCCAAAGAAGUGGCAAUGUCAAUGACAAACUCUGUUCUAUAUGGGGGGAUGCUGUUUCUGGAAGUAGCUUGAAAAUUGAAGAUGAUGUUGUGAAAAUAUAAGCUUUUAAUUGUGGUGAUGGUUUACUUUAUUAAGACAUUUGUGGUGAUUGUGUGCUGCCGGUGCUGGAAGAGGAGGUUGUUCCACGUGAUUCUGAUGAUGUUGGCAUAAGGUGAGCAUCUUCUCGGUGCUUUUUAUUUUUCUUUUCAGCAAAUCUUGCCAAUGUCCUAGUUCAGAAACCACGCAAAUACUUCCAUAGUUUGUAGCUGCAUCUUAUUAUGUCCGAUAGAGUACUAGUAGUAACAGUAAUAUGCUCUGGUAAAGAAAAUAGAAUUCUUUAGCAUUUUCUGUUUUUACUCGUCAGUUUCCUGCUUAUAUUUCGAACCAUUGGAUAUACUAUCUCUUCAUCUCAUACUUUUAUCAGAAUAUCAUGUGUGUCCACAGUGAGUUGAAGGGUUAAAUGUCCCUGUUAUUAGUUGUUAGUAGUUAAUCUUUCAGAAUUUGUCAUCAUUUUCAUAAUUGAUUGUUCUAUUACAUAGUUUUCAAAGUUAUCAUCACCGUAUAUGUUUUUCAAAUUUUUUUUUUGGGAAAAAUCUGGAGCUGAAAGGUUCUAAUUUGAAGCAUUGAAAAUUGAUGUCAAUCUGAUGUUGGCAAUGCUAUCUUUGCAGAAAAUCACUGGAAGCUAUUCAAGGAUGAUUUUGUCUCCCAUUCGCUGAUGGAAAAUUGAGGUAAUAUCUUGGGAUGGUCCUUGACUGGGAUGAAUCACAUAUCUAGAUAUGAAUUGAUUGGGGAUAUUUAUUUGUAUUCAUUAGGAAGAUACGGAGUGGAGGGAGGGAAAUUUUCUACAGCCAUUCUGUUGUCAGUGGUGUUAAUCUAGAGUCUUUAUUUGCAAUGCUGAAUUUAGUGAAGGGAGGAUAACACUAGGGACCAGUCACGUUUUUCACAAAGGAAACAGGAAAAAUUUAGAAAUUACACAUUGUUUUCCAAUUUUUUGAUGUAUUCAACCAUAUUUCUAGGUGAUGGAGGUAAAGAGUGGAUCUUGACCUCUUAGCCGAGGAAAUAAUUAGCCUUGGUUUCCUCUAGUUGUAUAGUUGUGUUUUUCUUCCUUGCUUACACAUUUACCCUUCUCAUACUACCCACUCCAUUUCUAGAACUUGAUAACUAAAGAGUUCACAGAUAUUCGCCGUUCAUCUUCUUUGUAUCAUUCCAUGUUUGUCCUGUUGUACACUGACAACUGAUUUUAUGAAAAUGGAUGGCAAGUGACCAUCGUGGGCGAUGGUUCCAUGUUUGUCCUGUUGUACAUUGACAACUGAUUUUAUGAAAAUGGAUGGCAAGUGACCAUCGUGCGCGAUGGAGGGCCACGGAUUAAUUUCAUGAUGAC
rnacentral:lncRNA from 1 species